rnacentral:tRNA from 1 species
UGGGCUAUAACUCAGUGGUAGAGUGCAUGCUCAGCAUGCAUGAAGUCCUGGGUUCGAUCCCCAGUACCUCCA